rnacentral:rRNA from 1 species
CUCAGUAACACGUAGCUAACCUACCCUUAGGACGUUAAUACCCCCGAGAAAUUGGGGCUAAUGAACGAUAGGUGUAAUGUCCUGGAAUGGUAUUACGCCUAAAGGUAUCUCAUACAUGUUUGAUAUACGCCUAAGGAUGGGGCUGCGGCCGAUCAGGCUGUUGGUGAGGUAAUGGCUCACCAAACCUUUGACCGGUAUGGGCCAUGAGAGUGGUAGCCCAGAGAUGGACACUGAGACAAGGGUCCAGGCCCUACGGGGCGCAGCAGGCGCGAAACCUCCUCAAUGCACUAACGUGUGAAGGGGUUACCUCGAGUGCCAUCUGAAAAAGGUGGCUUUUCCUUGGUCUAAAAAGCCUCGGGAAUAAGAGGGGGGCAAGACUGGUGUCAGCCGCCGCGGUAACACCAGCCCCUCGAGUGGUGGGGAUGAUUAUUUGGCCUAAAGCGUCCGUAGCCGGCCGGGUAAGUUUCCCGUUAAAUCCAACGUCUCAAGCGUUGGACUGCGGGAAAUACUGCCUGGCUAGAGAGUGGGAGAGGUCAGCGGUAUUCUGGG